rnacentral:sRNA from 1 species
AAUGGAGGAAGCCAGCAGCCAAUGAGCAGCGCCUCCAGGGGCGGGAGCAGAGAGACAAGGAAAUGCUGUCACCGCCGUUAACAAGCACGUGGAGGUUUGUUAAAGGUAGUGGGAGGCAUAAUUCUUAGUCAAUGAGAGACAGCAGUAGCCAAUCCAGAAUACCAGGGACAGGUGCGGUGCCGGCAAACUGACUUCAGGCUGUGGAUGUACGGCUGAGAGAGAAGUAGGAAACCCUGACAGUGCUCAUGCUGGCUUUGAUCCGGCUGGAGCAGCCUGUGGUGGAAAUGGCUCUAUAUAGCCUUGGUGUCUACCAGCAUCUGGAGUGGGAGCCACAAGAGCCAUGUAGACAGGCACCUAGCACUGUGCCAGCAACGUGGGGCUGACUGGCUCUGGGGAAGAGCUGUUGGCAGUGCUGGCGACAAGGAUAGAGUGUGAGGCCUGGUGACAGGAUGGCAGCGCAGAAGCCUCAGCGCUCAGGAGCUGCGGUCCUGGCUGCUCUGAGGGCUCUGCCACUGUAACUGUCACCAACAAUAGGACAAACAGAACUCUUGAACUGCUUUGGCACAGCGCACACCCUUCUGUGAGCACGCUCAUGGGAAUGUCACAUAAACUCAAGGACAUUUUGUGAAACAACUGCCUGUGGCCUUCGAAAGCAGCAAGGCCAUGACUGUCAAGGUAAAAAGUGCCGAUCCUCGAAGCCCUGGGUUAAACUCCAGCUUCAUGGUGGUGGGGGUGUGAGGAACUAUUCCUGAAAGAGAGAUUGACCAGAGACGUGUGACUACUGUACAUGAGGUGGACAGAGCCCAUGGGCAGUGCUGGAAUUACUAAGCAAAGCAUGCAGGAAACCUGAGUGGUGCCUCCCCAUUGGACACCAGCAUUUCACUAGUGAGUUUCAGGCUUGAUGGAUGCGAUGUGUACAGGGACUGUGCUUGUGUGGGAGAAUUAAAGCACUUGGAAGUGGGAGGACGACCAUGGUGGCAGUUUAUGCUUAAAUGAUCCAGGAAAAAAAAAUCCUUUGUAAAACUGUGAUUUUAAUUGGGGAUAUUUUUAAUUCCUGGUUACUGAAGACUGCUUUUAGUUAAGUGACAACAUAUAAACCUGCCAUCCCUCAAUACAUACAGAGGCCUCAUAUCUUCCCCAAUCUGUAGCAUGUUGCCAUGUACUCAUUCUUUCUGAGGUAGUAAACAGGCUCACUAACCGGGGGGCGGGGGGGGGGGCGGGAGGAGAGGACCUGUCCGUUUCUGUCUUCCCUUUUGCUAAGCUCUGACAGCCUGAGUCAGGUGGGGGGUCGCUCUCCUUGGGUGGGUGCUGGGUGCUAGGCACUGCUUGAUUUUUAUUACCAUGCUGUGUGGAUGUGUUGUCUACAUGUCUGUUAUCACAUGUGUGCAGAUGGAGACCACAAGAGGACGCUGAGUCCUCUGGGAGUGGAGUUACAGCUGGUUGACAACCAACAUGAGGAGUCUAGACUGAAGGGGAAAACGCAUACUCACAUGCCCACGUGCACACACAAUGAAUGAAGCACAAGAAACCAUCUCUCAGGGAGAAGCAGAGGUGGAGAGAAGCAAGGAUAGAGCUCACUUGUAAUCCCAGCACUGAGGCUGCAGCAGGAGGAUUCCAAGUUUGAAGCCAGCUUUGGCUGUGCAGUGAGGUAAAGGCCUACCUGGGACACAGGGAGACCCUGUCUCAAAAAAGGAAAAAGGUCUGGCUGCACCUGUUAUUUUUCUUGUCAUUAGCAGUGGCCAGCAUUUUUUUCCUCCUGAACUUUCUUACUUUACACCAAAUUCUAUGGUUCUGGCUCAAAUUCUCACUCUUGCCGUUAUAUGUAAUCUUACAAUAAAAAUACUUUAUUAUGAAAGUAUACAUAUCUAGCCUGUUAUGGCCCCAGAGCUACUCCAUAAGGAAAGAAAAAACAGACCAGUUUUCCCUGUUCCAUCUGCUUUCUACAGAGGGAACUAUGUCUACUUGGCCUAAGACCUGAAGAGAUCUCAGGGCAGAAGCCAUUUCCUGCCACCCCAAAUGAUGGUGACUCCAGCUUCCCAUCAGAUCUGCUGCUGAUCUGCCUCUGUUUCAAAAGCAAGCCAAAGGGGUCCCUGAAAGAUAAAGGGUAAAGAGAAACAGACAGGCUGGCCAGGAAGCAACACAGUGCCUUCAGUGGUCACCAGGCUCCAAGCCCGUGAAAUGCUGCAGAGCAAGGGAGAUCCUGCAGAGGCUGCCAACUGUGAAACCAGAGGACAGACGGCUCUUGCAAAGUGGACACGUAGAUUCUAGGACAUCACAGACACAGAUCUCUGCAGAAUCACUGUAGCCAUGAAGGGACAGCUGCAAAUAAAAGUAUGCAGUUGCAAAAACCAGUCCUGUAGGCACAGCCAGUUGCUUUUAAAGGUUCUAGAUGGAGUCAUCGGCAAAAAGCAGGCACCAUGCAUUUUGUUUCAACUGACACUGAAAUGCUCAUAGUAUUUUUGUGAACAAGAAAGAGGAAAUGAAGGCUGGGUGAUCAUCUUACUUGGGGCUAAGGGUGGUGGGUAUAAGCCAAGGUACCUCCAAGUCAGCCUGGGCUCAGGACCAGGGACCACAGGCAUCCUGGGUCUUUUUACUGACAUGUUUUCCUUCUGGUAAUUGUCAUCUUAUUUUAAUUAUUUACUUACUGAGUAUCACAUUAGUCUAGCCUCUGACUGCUGGAAUUUAAAGCAUGCAUGUUUAGUUAACAAAAACUAUUUAAGAAAAACUAAAAAAUUCAAUUAUAGGUAAGAAAAAUAACGUUCCUCAUAUAGUAUUCCCCACACUGGGCUAUAUUUGGAGACUUGGGCCCACUCUUAGGGGUAUUUCCAGUGAGAGACUUUCAAGCUUCUGACCAUGGUACUUACUCUGUAAGUCCAAAGAACAAAACCAUGCCACCUGUGUGGAUGUUCAAGAAGCCAGGUUUCUGUUUAACUCAAAGAUACCUUUGCAUGCCUCUGGAGGUGAUGUUUCCCUUUCUCUAAAAUUGUUUAACCAGAGACAAGGUGUAUAUUCUGUUGGAGUUGGGACAGAGAAGUGGGGUAAAAAGUUGGACUAAACUUUCUUUCAAAUGUUAUCCUUCUGAGAUGCAAGGGAGAUCAGGUGAGAGGGACCCUGCCUAGCAUGUACAAGGGCCUUGGUUACAUACCUAGCACGUAAAACAGAACAAACAAACUAAGCAUUUUCAGACCAUGUUGUGCUGAUAAAAGCAUAGGACAAGUUAGCUGCUGGCAGGGCCAGGAAGGCAGGCAGUCGGUCUCCUAGGAGGCUCUCAAGAUUCGUUUACUUAACAAAGCUUGGUGAAUGAUGAUGCCCUUCCUGCAUUAUGAAACACAGAGGCAUGCAGUGGAGCAGAGUAAAAGGAAGUGUAGCAAAGACAGACCAGGACUUCCUCACCGGCUUCCUAAUCACCUCUCUCCCUCUGUAGCCCUGGAUCAAUCAGUUUGGAAACCUGGUUGGGCUCAGAGUUCUCAACCUGUGGGUCAUGACCCCUCUGAAGGGGUGUCAAUUGGCCCUUUCAUAGGAGCCUCACACCAGAUAUUCUGCAUAUCAGAUAUGUGCAUUAUAAUCCAUAAUAGCAAAAUUACAGUUAUGAAGUGGCAACAAAAUAAUUUUAUGGUUAGCAAUCCCCACACUUAGGAACCAUGUCAACUGGUCACAGAACUAGGAAGGUUGAGAGCCACUGGGUCAGAGGGGAACUGCUCUCCCGCUGAGGCUGCGGGCUGCUGCUCCCGGCUGCAUGCCUCAUCUUAGUUGCAUUUUCCUCCCCAGCUGGCUCUCAAAAUACUUCUUUAGUCUAAAACCACUAUGGGUGUCUCCUACUGUCACUGAGAGCUUUGUGUGGUCCCUGGGCAAUCAAAUGGGAGAAACAUUUCCCUGCCACUGCAGAAUUGUAUUCUGGAAAGAGAAAGAGAAGGAAAGAGAGAAGUACUUCUGGUUGGUGUGUAAGUGGAUGUGGUUAAGGAGAGACACACCCGCAGAUUCUCCGAGCAGCCUCUCUUCGUCUGGAACCCUGUGUUUAGAAUUUGUAAUGUGGGGGUUGGGGAUUUAGCUCAGUGGUAGAGCGCUUGCCUAGCAAAUGCAAGGCCCUGGGUUCGGUCCCCAGCUCUGAAAAAAAGAAAAAGAAAAAGGAAAAAAAAAAAAAAAAAAGAAUUUGUAAUGUGGAUGCAAGUCAUGCUUGACCCUUCCUCCACACCACUGAAAGCACCGAGUGGAACAGAAAGCCGCAGAGGGGCUCACAUGUAAUUCUGCAAUUGCUUCACACCACUUCCACUACACUACACAGUUUUCUUUCUGUGUGAGGGCCGGACCCAGGGUCUCACAUAUGUACGGCAAAUGCUAUAUAUAUAUGUGAACUAUUUCCAGCUCAUCCAACAUUUUUUAAUAAUCCCACGGUAUGUGGUCGCUGAAACCUACAAUUUAGCAAUAUAGGUAAUAAGAAUUACUGUAUAUUUCUCCUUUUUUACAUUUAUUUAUUUUGUGUGUGUUUGAACACAUAUGAAAGUUACAGAACAAUUUGGAACCAGUUCUUUCCACCACGUGGGUUCUCCAGGUACUGAACCCUGGUUAUCAAGUUCGGCAGCAAUCACCUUAUCCUCCACUGAACCAUAUCUCACACCCUUACCAAAUAUUCUUGAAAGAAAAAGCAUGCACGUCUCUCAGCUGUAGAAUCUGGAUCUUAUUAUUAAUUCAUUUCCGCUAACACUCCCUAAGUCUCCAGGCUGAAGGCUGGCAGUCAUCUUUGAUACAAGCAAAAUGACCAGCACAUCUCGGCCCCAAGAAGUCCUGAGGGGCUGAAUAAGGUGGCAAGGAGGAAGGAGUAUCAGGUAACUGAGGGACUCGACAGAACCCAAAGCUGACAGAAAAGCACCUAAUUCCCAGACUCCUCAUAGCAUCUGCCUCCCUCAUAUCCCUCUAGUACAGCCUUCGCCCCCUGCUGUCCUCUCCAAACCUCCCUCCACUCUGCGGGCUGCUUCUACCAGGUCACCAGACCUCGCUCAUGGCUGCCCCCCUGCCAAUUCACUCCAUCACUAAAAUACUGACAUUCUUCAACAAGUGUCCCUUCUCACCCAAGAUCUCUUUCCUUAGGGGACUGUGUCUGUUCACAUGGCUUCAGACAGCUUCCACGGGUUCAUUCCCAGGUCUGUGUUCAGCCCAGCCCUCAGUGGCCCUUCCCUGGGUCGGCCAGACACUCCCAACCCAGAGCACUCCCUCCUGACCGGUUUGUUCUUCCCUCCCAGCCUCCAUGGCCCUCCCUUUGGAUCCCAGGAGCUUAUCUCUGCUGCCCUUCCCUUGCUUACGGCUCUUCUGUCCUUUCUAGCUGAUGCUUGGACCUUUAGGCCAGUUUUCAUUUUCCUCCCUAGCAAAAUUUAUUGACAGCCAUUUUGUAACAGGUAUAUCAUGUCUUUGGGAUCCUUUCUGGACUGAGAUGAAGUCAGGACUUUGCUAGCAUCCAGCACCCAUUACAGUGAGAGCAGGCCUAAGGUAUGGAUGGGGUAAGGACCUGCUCUUCUGAGUAAGCUGUGCUGGUCUUCACUGAACUGCUGAUACCAGCUCUGGUUCCUGGUACAGUUCUGGGAGAGGAGGAAGAAUAGUCUUUGGAAUGUGUGGUUGUAAUGUCAGCAGGACCCUGAGCAUUACCCUCCUGGUGGACAGUUGGGGCCUCGUCAUUCUUGGUACCAGUUUCUCUCCUUUCUGUUCGCUAAUCCAUGGCAUGGUCCUUGCUUAAAUGACCUCUCAGCUCAGGCAGAACUCCCACCCUCAGCCUCCAGGGCAGCUUUCAACCUCUGGCCCACUCUAUCCAGUCAGGUCACUUUGGGAAGACUAAACUCGGAGCCCUACCCAGCCUCUCCCCUGACUACACCUCCCCCUUAGUUUGCGGAAGCUCCACUGAUAAGCUGAGAGGAACCAAGCACCCAGCCUCCUCCCUCCUUGUCUGCCAUUCUCUCUCCUGAGCCUGAAGCCAGCACUGUCCCUUUGGCCAUUUAGAAUCCCUAAAGGUUGUUUCUCACUUACUCUCCAGAAGCAGAUGACCUUGUUGGGUGCCAGUGCGCACUCCUGUGGCACCCUUGGCAAAGCUGGCCUCACCAUAGAGUAGGGAGCUUAGGUGGCUCUAUGCUGGAGGGGUGGGUGGGCUUUCUCUGGCCGACAUUAACAGGAAGGACCCUGAGCCCUGGUUAUCAGGCUGUCCUAGGAUGGACUGGCUCAAAGUCCACACUUGGACCCUAGGCUACUGGGCCGUUAUUUUUUUUUUUUUAAAUCCUUCCCAGCUAUGGCUUCCUUAGCCCUCCACUAUGGUAUUUCCCUAGUAGGAAUUUCGCUCUGCACAAACAGUCCUUCUGGUGGCUAUUUUGGUCAGUCUGGCUGGGCCAGAAGCCAGUAAAGCAGUUCCUAAGGCCAGGUUUUCCCAGUUGCCUAGCCUGGAAGAAUUCAGAGCUGGUGAGGGAAAAGCAAGCCACGGCUGGUUUUAAAGAACAAAACUGGACCUCCAGGGAAACUGGUGAAUGAAUCAGCCUGGAUGGAGGGUGGAGGGAGCAAGCUGGGCUGGGCUGUCCGGAAAACUGAACACCCAGCAAUCUCACACAGGAAGAUGACGUUCACGCCUUUCAUUGCAGAACUCUGAGCAGAGGCUACUAAUGCCACAGGCCAAAAGGAGAGAACAGAUCUCUCCAUCCCAACCCUGACCCCACCACUCAGCCAUGACCCUGGGAUGUACAUAGGACUUUAUCAAGAAGUUACCCUUCCAGGGGUUGGGGAUUUAGCUAAGUGGUAGAGCGCUUGCCUAGCAAAUGCAAGGCCCUGGGUUCGGUCCCCAGCUCCGAAAAAAAGAAAAA